GUGCGUGAGAGGGUACUUGGAGGAGAGAGGAGGCUGAUUUGGAGAUGUAAAAUGAAUAAAUAAAUAAAAAUUUAAAAAUGAUUGUCUUUCUAAGAAUAGUGGAGGGAAACUCCAUGGAAUCUAUGCACAUGGCUUUAGCAAAGACUCCUAGUAAUAGGGAAUAAGAAGCCGGAACAUCUCUUGUGACCAGCUACCUGUAAGGAACCUGGGCCAUUGCCAUACUGUCAUCAAAUGAAAACAUCGGAUCACUGACAAAAAGGUAUCUCUCUAAGGGGGGUCCACUCAGAAGAGCACAGGUCUCAGAAGCAGCAGAGCUUCUGGAACAGUGUCCUAUGGGUCUACAUUUACAGCCAGGAGGUGGAGCUGAUCCUAAGUCCUCUAUGCACCUUGCCUGUCAAAGGAGAGGUUGCCUCAAGGGAGUGCUCUGAUCACAGGACUCAGAUCCCUAUCACAAAGAUCAUCGUUCUGCUCCUGGACAAGAAGCGUUCACCACGACACAGGAAUCAGGUAUUUUGUAGUUAUUGUGACGGAUCCUUAUUUGGAAUUGGCAAACUGUCAAGUAACAAUGAUGACAUUGGUACAUAUCACCAAAAUAUAAAAGAAGGAAAUUUGGUCAAAUAUACAGGCAUAAAGGGAAAGACGGAAAAAAAAUGAGCAGACACUAUAUGGCACAUGGUCCAAGCUCAGAAUUUUGCAAGACUACAAAAAAUCAGGACUGAUCAACACAGGGAAUGAACUCUUUUGGUAUACUUCUAAAACUAACAAAUAAUAAAUUUCUGAUGCUUAAGAAACUCAAAUAGUGGAACUUUGUUAACACAGUUUUAGAAAACUAACACCUGUACUCAAAACAUGGUAAUGUAUAUACGCAAAUAACUAUGAAAUGGCGUAUUUGAAUAUGUAACACACAAUUUUAAGCUUUUACUUCGUGAGUUAUCUAUAGUAAGAACUUUCAACAUCAGAUAAAAAUGGGAAAUGCUAUUAAAAUAACUUAUAGAAGACAUGUGAAGAAUUCUAGGGAAAUAUUUACCUACAAAAGGGAAAGCUGGGAGACUGUCAAAGUUUGGAAUCUCUUAAAGUUUACAUAAUCAGAUUACUUUAUUCUAUUUCUGAGCUAGUCUCCGAUAAAGAUUUUUUUAAUCAACAUUAUGCUAACAUAUCUUCAUCUGUUCUCACUGAAUUACUUUCUUAGCUCUUAUGUAACUGUGCAUAUGCUCUUCUGUGUUUUCUACUUGUUAUUUUGGGGACUGUGGUCAAUUUCAAUUUUGAAUAUAAAUAUAUUGAGUUUUUGUUCAUUAUCUGAGGUUUCAUGUAUUAUUCUUUUUAGAAAUGUGAAAAUAUCUUUAAAACUUAUGUUUGUUCUUUUUAAACUCUGUUUAAUGUCAAUUUUCUAUGAAUGGAAAUAACACUACAUUUUAAUAACUUUUGGUCUAUCAGCAGAUGAAAAUGUCAUAGUUCUUCAGCUUUUUUUAGUAUUAUUAUGAUAGUGUGUGAUAUUUUUACUUUGCUUUUUUCUAUUAACUUUUAAUUCAUCAACAUGUGUUUAAUAUUUUUCAUGAAAGCACGAACAUAUUUUAAUAGUGUUUUAUUUAAUUGUAGCUACAGCUGUUUAUAUUAAAAAAAUUGGCUUGCAAUUUUCUAAUAAUGAUGCUUUAUUCAUGAUAAUAAAGAUGCUUAGGCCCUAAGUACCUGCCUAGAUCAUCCUUAUAUAUGGUAUUAGCAUUUUAUUGUCUGGUAGGUCUUCAUGAUCUCUAGUGAGUCAAACAUAAAUUGCUUUCCAAGCUGUAAAAUAGAUUGAAGAUUUGAAAAGCAUUCAAAUGAGAACAAAUAAAAAACUGAGCAUAUAUAAAUUUGAGUCUUGAGUUUAAGGAAGGGAUAAAAAAAAGCAAUAAGUAGGUAUGGAAAGUAACUAUCUCCCAGUGCAGAUAGAUAAAGGAGAAUUUGGAAAAUUGAUAAGGUAGUCAUUAAUUUUAAUAUCAGCAAUAUAAUAAUAUAUAUGAAUUGUUAAAGUAUCAUUUAAGAGAUUUCUUAUUAUAAAAGUAGGAGUUAGAGCUGACAGAGACAUUGUUUACAUGUAUAUUUAACUCACACAGGAGCAUGGUCUCUAGCAUCCUACUGACUCUGUUUCAUAUUAUAAAUAAAUUGCUAUUCUAAUUUCUUUGGUCU
ensembl:lincRNA Gm12381 predicted gene 12381